UACGAAGGGGGCUAGCGUUGCUCGGAAUCAUUGGGCUUAAAGGGCGCGUAGGCGAGCUGGAAAGUCAGGGGUGAAAGCCCACGGCUCAACCGUGGAAGUGCCUUUGAUACUGCCAGUCUGGAGGGAGGUAGGGGCGUGCGGAACUUCCGGUGGAGCGGUGAAAUGCGUAGAUAUCGGAAGGAACACCGGUGGCGAAAGCGGCGCGCUGGACCUCUUCUGACGCUGAGGCGCGAAAGCCAGGGGAGCGAACGGG
rnacentral:rRNA from 1 species